rnacentral:rRNA from 1 species
UACGUAGGGUGCGAGCGUUAAUCGGAAUUACUGGGCGUAAAGCGUGCGCAGGCGGUGAUGUAAGACCGAUGUGAAAUCCCCGGGCUUAACCUGGGAACUGCAUUGGUGACUGCAUCGCUCGAGUAUGGCAGAGGGGGGUAGAAUUCCACGUGUAGCAGUGAAAUGCGUAGAGAUGUGGAGGAAUACCGAUGGCGAAGGCAGCCCCCUGGGUCAAUACUGACGCUCAUGCACGAAGGCGUGGGGAGCAAACAGG